AUACUUACCUGGUAGGGGGAAUAUCACUAUCAGGAAAGUGGUUUCGCAAGAGCAAGGUUAUUCUAUUGUACUUUGGUUAGGUUUACCCAUGUGAUUUACCCAAAUAUGAGAAAUUCAACUGUAUAGUUUAUAGUAGUGUUAGAUUGCAUUUCCUCCAUUUUUGG